AGCCGAAACCCCCUCGGGGGUUGGCGCGGGAUGGCAGCCCACGCCCUGAUGAUGGCAGGCCACA
rnacentral:hammerhead_ribozyme from 1 species